rnacentral:sRNA from 1 species
GAGCAUUGGAUCUACAACAAUUGAAUAAGGAUAGUACCUGUUUUAGUGUUCUCUUUCUGAUGUGUAACAGAGAGAGAUAGUUAGUUUUGUUUUUCUCUAUAGAACCAUCUCUCUGGUCAAUUGGAUAAGAAGCAGAGGUUGAGAGAAAUAGGUUAACUAAAAAGCAAAGGAGUUAGGCCAAAAAGGAAAUGGUGUGGAGAGAAAAGAGUGUAAGAAAGAGAAAGAUGUGCCAAUGUUACACGUUUCUUCUACUGCCAUAUUCUGUUGUAGAUUCUGCUGGUGUUUGUAUUCUAAAAGCUAUGUGGUCUUUAAACACAGCUAAUUAUUAUAAAAUGUUAUUUUCCUUUUCAAGUUAGGUGCAGCCAUACUUGAGCAAACAUUAGAGCAAGAUCAAAUAGAUGGUGACUCAAAGGACAAGUGUGGCUCUAGUGGCAUCUUGCCUGGUGGCACUUUGGCACCUCAUUUGAGAUUACAAGCUGAUGGUAUUGGACAAGAAGUUGGUGCACCCAGAGAAUUUCCACCAUACCAGAGGGGCCCACCCCUAGCAUACAUGGAUAGAAUUGCAGAGAAGAGAAAACUAGAAGAAUCUGAGGACUGUGACUUCAAUGCGGAAAUUCAUGGCAACUGGACUAUGGAGAAUGCUAAGUCUCGACUACACCAGUUCCUGCAAAUGCAUAAAAUCAAAGCUGACUAUAAGUAUCAUGUGAUGGGACCAGACCACAAUAGGUGAAACUUGAUGAUUAUCUUUUUUC